rnacentral:misc_RNA from 1 species
GUUGGUGAACCAGCGGAGGGAUCAUUACGAGAGUUGCAAAACUCCCUAAAACCCACUGUAAAUAUACCUAUUUUAGCUACUUCGGCAGGCGGUCCCAGGGCGGGGCCAUGGCCUUUUUAGGCGCCUGCCAAAGCCUAUAAAACUCUUACUGUUACUGUAUUCUGAGCAUAAAAACAAAUAAGUUAAAAUUUUCAAUUGUGGAUCUCUUGGUUCUG